GCGCCAAUAGCUCAGCUGGAUAGAGCGUUCGGCUACGAACCGAAAGGGCAGGGGUUCGAAUCCCUUUUGGCGCACCA
rnacentral:tRNA from 4 species